CCGCCCAUAGUGCACUUCCGGAUGAUUGGGAACUUGCCCCCUUCGUGCUAAGGAUAUGCCCGUGAAGGCUUCACCUAGCGCCACAACCUUCCGUGCGGAACGGGUCACACUGGAUGCCUCGGCACGUCCGAGGGAUGACCGCAACUACCCACUGUGAUGCCAGACCGGCACCUCGACCAAAGGGACGAAGGCAUCAAGAUUUUUGACUUGGACCUUGAGGAACAAGCAAAGAACUUGCUGCACGCCAAAUGUGUCAUGGUGCCGGAUAAGCUCACUACGAGAUGCCCACAUUUUUCCGUUGGACCAGCCAGAACCGGGACACGUACGACCUGGAUUCGGCGUGGACUAUUUUUGACUCGGUCGAAUUUCCCACAUGGCCAUGGAAAAACGCACCAGCAUGCUUGGGAAAGCUUGCUGGGGCGCUGGGAGGGAGCCCCAUGGCACGCCAUCCUGACCCACCAAGGUGCGUGGGCAGGCAGGCAGCUCCCCCCUAUAGUAGGCUAAUAUGCAAAAACCCACUCUCCAGCACCGGACAUCCUUUUUUCUGGGGAGACAUACUCGGUUUUUCUGAGGCUACGGGUCGAAUUUUGACCUGAUUUUUUGCACAAGUGCUUAUAGAAAUGGGACAUAGUGCUCCACAAAGUUUCACGAUUUUUCUCCUAGCCGAUAUUAUUUCAUGAUUUUUCCAGCCGGCGAGCAUUUUAUAAUUCCAGAAAAUUGGAAAAUCAGUGUGGGACAUGUUUCUGGAGCUCUUCUCUUUGCAGGCAACCAUGGCUAAACAAUUCGAAGUUGGCCUCCAAAUUUGGUGCCAUUUUCAUGAAGGGGUCGGCGCCUUACCAUGCUUUCACCGAAAUAGGGAAUGCAAGUGAAGCAAAAAAAACUCACACGAGGCACGGGACAUGCCCAUGGGCCACUUUCGCCUUCACCUAGGACCGCUCGGGACACAUGUGCCAUGGCUUGGGUCAAUUUCACCUAGGACCACUCGGGACACAUUUCGCAUGGCAUCAAUUACCCCUAAUGGCACUCGUGCAGGUCCAAUCAUGGCCUCUCUUUCAGCUAGCAUUAGGAAAGUGUGUCACGGCCUCAAUUUCACCUAGCACUCGGACACAUGUGUCAUGUCCUCAAUGUCACCGAGCACGUGUAAUGUCCUCACUUCCUCCGAGCACGUUUGUCAUUCCCGCACUUUCACCUAGCACUCGGGAUCACGCACGAGGAACCACACCCCAUG